rnacentral:misc_RNA from 1 species
GUAUUUCAUUGCGUUAAACGCGACAUACAUUCCAUAAGACUUUGUUACAGUGUGUGUGUAAAUACAUAGAACCACAGCAGGGGGGACGGAGCCCCACAGGCCAUAGAACUACAGAGGGUGCACAGGUGUGAGUGGAUGUGUAAACAGAGCGUGCACAUGCCCCCAUGUUUGAGGACCAGCAACAGCUCGUGUCAACAACUCAGUAAUGAUCCUUCCGCAGGUUCACCUACGGAAA